CUUUUGUUCGUGACGGGGCCCAUGGCCAGGCUGCCGGGCAUGGGGGAGCCGUAGCCGGAGUAGUGCAUCACCUGCUCUGAUGCAGAGAUUCACAUCACCUGCUUUCCAUGAAUGCAGCCCCAGGGGGUCAUUUGGGAAGUAAAAGAACCCAUCAUGCCCAUCCUAUCAACGUAACACCUAGGAGCCCCAGUCAUGGACCAGAGCCCCAAUGUGCUAGGCGCUGUACAAACAGAAAACAAAAAGACAAACUUCGAUUGUGAACUCUUUGAGGCAGAAGCUAAGACAAGAGACAACAGAUGGAGAGAGAGAUGAGGGAGUAAAAUGAAACAAUGGGACAAGAUUGGUCACGACUGGCAGUGGUCACAACAGCCCAGCCGUUUAAUUCUAGCAUAGAGAGCAUUCCCUCCUUCAAAACCAUACGAUUGUGAAAAAUCGCUACCCCACUCAUUAUUUCUGUAUCUA